rnacentral:rRNA from 1 species
UGCCAGCAGCCGCGGUAAUACGAAGGGGGCGAGCGUUGUUCGGAAUAACUGGGCGUAAAGGGCGCGUAGGCGGUCUAUCCAGUUGGGCGUGAAAGCCCCGGGCUUAACCUGGGAACUGCAUUUGAAACUGGUAAACUAGAGUAUGGUAGAGGAAAGUGGAAUUUCUGGUGUAGCGGUGAAAUGCGUAGAUAUCAGAAGGAACAUCAAUGGCGAAGGCAGCUUUCUGGACCAAUACUGACACUGAGGUACGAAAGCGUGGGUAGCAAACAGGAUUAGAUA